rnacentral:rRNA from 1 species
CAAUAGCGUAUAUUUAAGUUGUUGCAGUUAAAAAGCUCGUAGUUGGAUUUCGGAUGGGAUUUGCCGGUCCGUCGUUACGAUGUGCACUGGCCAGUCCUAUCUUGUUGUCGGGGACUAGCUCCUUGGAUUCACUUCCUGGGACUAGGAGCUGACGAGGUUACUUUGAGUAAAUUAGAGUGUUCAAAGCAAGCCUACGCUCUGAAUACAUUAGCAUGGAAUAACACGAUAGGAAUCUGGCUUAUCUUGUUGGUCUGUGAGACCAGAGUAAUGAUUAAGAGGGACAGUCGGGGACAUUCGUAUUUCAUUGUCAGAGGUGAAAUUCUUGGAUUUAUGAAAGACGAACUUCUGCGAAAGCAUUUGUCAAGGAUGUUUUCAUUAA